rnacentral:lncRNA from 1 species
UAUAACAAACUUAUUUAUUAAUAAUAAAAACUUUUACUGUCCACUUACCUCGGUGAGAUUCAUGAAAAUAACAUAUGAAAAUAAUAACAUUAUAACCAUCAUAAAAUCAUAUACACUUUGUAACAUAACACAUGUUAUACUUUUGCACUUCAAUAAUCAGACAACAAUUCUUCUCUUUUACCAGCCUACUAGUAUCCAUGGGGAUCCAUAGGGGGUCCCCGCUACACGUGAACCAUUAA